UAUAUAGAUAAGCAAGAGAUUUUUCUUACUGAAAAAUUGUAACAGGGAAGUCGGUUGAAAUCCGACGCGGUCCCGCCACUGUAAUGGGGAGUUACUGCCACAUCCACUGAGGAAACUUGAGAAGGAGGCAGUUUACGAGGAACCUGAGCCAGGAGACCUGAUUGCUUAUGCUUUACUCA
rnacentral:ncRNA from 2 species